rnacentral:rRNA from 1 species
GAGUUUGAUCCUGGCUCAGGACGAACGCUGGCGGCGUGCUUAACACAUGCAAGUGGAGCGACGAACCAGGGCUUGCCCUGGGGCAGAGCCGCGAACGGGUGAGUAACACGUGGGUUACCUGCCCUGAUGACCGGGACAACCCGAGGAAACUCGGGCUAAUACCGGAUGUGCCCGCAAGGGGAAAGGAAGCUUCGGCCUCCGCAUCAAGAUGGGCCCGCGGCCCAUUAGCUUGUUGGUGAGGUAACGGCUCACCAAGGCUUCGAUGGGUAGCUGGUCUGAGAGGACGAUCAGCCACACUGGGACUGAGACACGGCCCAGACUCCUACGGGAGGCAGCAGUGGGGAAUCUUGCGCAAUGCGCGAAAGCGUGACGCAGCAACGCCGCGUGGGGGAAGAAGGCUUUCGGGUUGUAAACCCCCUUUCAGUUGGGACGAAGCUUCUCCGGUGAAUAGCCGGAUGGAGUGACGGUACCUUCACAAGAAGCACCGGCUAACUACGUGCCAGCAGCCGCGGU